UACGGGGGGGGCAAGCGUUGUUCGGAAUUACUGGGCGUAAAGGCUCGUAGGUGGCCAACUAAGUCAGACGUGAAAUCCCUCGGCUUAACCGGGGAACUGCGUCUGAUACUGGAUGGCUUGAGUUUGGGAGAGGGAUGCGGAAUUCCAGGUGUAGCGGUGAAAUGCGUAGAUAUCUGGAGGAACACCGGUGGCGAAGGCGCAUCCUGGACCAACACUGACACUGAGGAGCGAAAGCCAGGGAGCAAAGCGGG
rnacentral:rRNA from 1 species